rnacentral:lncRNA from 1 species
AUUGGUCUGCUGUGUUUGUGAAAAAUAUUGUGUCUAAGUCUAUCGGCCCAUAGUCUUCAAGCUUCCUUCUUAUUUGUCGCUCUCGAAGGUUUAAGUUAUAAUGAACGUAGACUAGUUUAUGAAGCUUCUCCGAAGCGAGUCGAUUCAUCAUAGUAGUGUACAACCAUUGGAACGUACUCCAGUUGCGCUCACAGCCAGUAGCAGAACAUGUCUGGGAGAGCACCUUGAUUGCUAUCCUAUUUAGGUGAGGUGCAUCAGUACCA